GUCAAAAAUGGUCAAAAAAAGUCAUAGUAUAGUAAGGCGUCAAAAAUGGUCCAAAAAAGUCAUAGUAUAGUAAGGCGUCAAAAAUGGUCAAAAGUGGUCAAAAAUGGUCAAAAAAGUCAUAGUAUAGUAAGGUGUCAAAAACGUCAAAAAUGGUCAAAAAAAUCAUAGUAUAGUAAGGCGUCAAAAAUGGUCAAAAGUGGUCAAAAAAUGGUCAAAAAAGUCAUAGUAUAGUAAGGCGUCAAAAAUGGUCAAAAGUGGUCAAAAAUGGUCAAAAAAGUCAUAGUAUAGUAAGGCGUCAAAAAUGGACAAAAGUGGU